GAUGAACGCUAGCGGCAGGCUUAAUACAUGCAAGUCGAGGGGCAGCACGGGUAGCAAUACUGGGUGGCGACCGGCAAACGGGUGCGGAACACGUACACAACCUUCCUUUUGGUGGGGGAUAGCCUUUGGAAACGGAGAUUAAUACCCCAUAAGAUAUUGGGACCGCAUGGUUUUGAUAUUAAAGAUUUAUUGCCAGGAGAUGGGUGUGCGUCUGAUUAGGUAGUUGGCGGGGUAAAGGCCCACCAAGCCGACGAUCAGUAACUGGUGUGAGAGCACGAGCAGUCACACGGGCACUGAGACACGGGCCCGACUCCUACGGGAGGCAGCAGUAAGGAAUAUUGGUCAAUGGGCGGAAGCCUGAACCAGCCAUGCCGCGUGGAGGAUGAAGGUCCUCUGGAUUGUAAACUUCUUUUAUCAGGGGCGAAAAAAGGCUUUUCUAAGUCGUCUGACGGUACCUGAUGAAUAAGCACCGGCUAACUCCGUGCCAGCCGCCGCCGUAACAC
rnacentral:rRNA from 1 species